rnacentral:rRNA from 1 species
AUUGAACGCUGGCGGCAGGCCUAACACAUGCAAGUCGAACGAGUGGCGGACGGGUGAGUAAUGUCUGGGAAACUGCCUGAUGGAGGGGGAUAACUACUGGAAACGGUAGCUAAUACCGCAUACCAUCAGAUGUGCCCAGAUGGGAUUAGCUGGUUGGGGGGGUAACGGCUCACCAAGGCUACGAUCCCUAGCUGGUCUGCGAGGAUAACCAGCAAGACGUGAACUGAGACACGGUCAAGAGUCCUACGGGAGGAAGAAUGGGGGAAUAUUGCACAAGGGGCGAAAGCCUGAUGCAGCCAUUCCGCGUGUAUGAAGAAGGCCUUCGGGUUGUAAAGUACUUUCAGCGGGGAGGCGUUACCCGCAGAAGAAGCACCGGCUAACUCCGUGCCAGCAGCCGCGGUAAUUC